GUGAAUCAUCAAAUCUUUGAACGCAAAUUGCACUCUCUUCGGAGAGUAGGCCUGUUUGAGGGUCAGCCUAAAAAAAAUCGACAUCGUUGCUGUUUUGCGGUGGCGUUCGUUGGAAAUUGGGUUAUCUUAAAUCUUUGGUGUAAGCGACUUAAAAUUUCCUUUACGAUUCUAUGAACGUUACCAAGAUUGAUAUC
rnacentral:misc_RNA from 1 species